rnacentral:lncRNA from 1 species
UUGAAUCCUUGCUUGAUUCAUGCUAAAAACACCUAGUUCGUGAUUUGCAUAAAUUGAACCAAGGUUGAAGAUGAAGUGUACCUGCACGCAUUUUUUCAAAUAACUAGUUGUUGACGCCCUAAUUCAAACAUUUUAUUUUCAGUUUUAUUUUCAUUUACUUUCUGAUUUUAUUUUUGAUUGAUCUUUAAUUCAUUUUGAUACAAUUUUCUUACAGAAAAUCAAUAAAAAUAUUUUGCAUCUCAGACUUUUUUUCAUAAUUUUU